rnacentral:tRNA from 1 species
GCGGGUGUAGCUCAGUUGGCUAGAGCAUCAGCCUUCCAAGCUGAGGGUCAAGGGUUCGAGCCCCUUUACCCGCUCCA